GUCUUGAGAUGUGGUCUCUGUGGAGAGGGCUGAGGACAGAGAGGGCUGAAAAGCCCCUCCCUUAGCCCUGCACCCCUUCAGCAGCGCUGUGGGGUAAGCUGGAACCCUGCUGGGCCUCACACCUCACCGCCCUUCUUCUGUCUUCUGCGUGCUGUCUCUCAGGCCCACCCUCUCCUCUGGAAGCACUGGAACCCUCUUCACAACUCAUUUCUCUCUCACGUGGAGUCAUUGGUCCAACAGGAAAACAGGCUUGCAGAAGACUGCUGACUCACACCAGGUUCCACCAGAAACAGACUCUGAGAUUUUCACACAGGAGAAUUACUGGGGAACUACACCUGCUGAGUGAGGGGGCAAAAGAAGCAGAACUGGCAGAGAGAAAAGCUGAAGGACGAUGCGGUUGGAAGAGAGAGAGCUCUGAAGCUGGGAUGGCCCUUCAGAAGUGGCCCUCACUGAGGAGAAGCUCCGCUGAGGCCCAGAGGUCUCCCCGCAUGGGUCUCCGGGUAUCCGGAAGAUGGCUCUAUUGCCCUUAGACACGAAGCAGCAGGUACCAUGGCAGUCCCGGGACCCCCCUUCAGAGCCACAGCUCCUUCUGCUCUACAAGGAGGUCGAUUUCCAUGGAAUGGAGCUGUGUGACCCAUGACCUUGGUUGGGUAUCCACCAGCCACUUCUCUCCCAUGACAAUCCAUCCCAGAAGAUUAAUUCCUGCUAGAGGCCUUCCAGCCUGGCCCUGUCGCCAUCCAAGAAGUCAAGACGGGGCCUUCCUCGUAGACAGGGGUCAUGAUUAAAGAAGCCAAUUUCUUCCUGAGCUUCCUAGAGGCUGAGGGUGAUGCUCCCUCUGACCACACCAGAGAGGGCAGGCUGGGAUCCAGGAUUCAUCCAGCUGGGGACUUUCCAGCUGGGUCACCAGGGUCACUGAGGACAGAAGAAGCUAUAGGAGUGGGGUCAGCAACAGCCUUCAGAAGGACAAAGACAAUUAGUUCUUUGGAGUUGGGGAGGAAGAGCCGAAAAUGCGGGUUCCAGAGGGAAGAAGGCAGGGGAAAUCGCUUGUGUCUUUUGGCAGGAAAUGAAUAACAUUCAAAGAAUAUGCAAAAUGCCUUGCUAAUCAGCACCUGUUCACUUUGGAGCCAGUGCCUUGGGCCCGUGGCAUCUGAGGUCAAGCCUGGCUUUGGGUCUCCCCAGGGGCGGAAAUACAGUACAUCGGGAUGUACUGGAGUGUUGAAAGAGGCGCUGGUUCGAAGUGGGAUAGAACGAAGGAAAGUGCCUUGCUCCUUCCUGGCCCCUAAUGGUCUGUUACGCACCCCCAGCUCAACCCCAGGCAGAUGGCUGCAAAUUCUGCGGGGGCCUCCGAGCAUUCCCUUGGCUGGUAGCCACAUUCCAGAGCACCAUGUGUUUCAUCUCAAGCCCAGAAGGUUUGAGCUUCCAAGUGGAGCCAAAGAGAAAACCUGGCUCAGGCUGCAAAUUUCAGAGAAGAGGUGGGGGCCAGGAGAGGCCGCCAGGGAGGUUUGGAGCUGUCGUGUUGAAGAACAUUCAACUUAAUGCAAAGCUAGGUCCCAAACCUGGGACGCCCUCGUUCCCAACUCAAAACACCUCAAGGCACCCCUGCCCCGGGGAAAACUGAAGAGAGCGGCUGCUGCCCUUCGUGCUUCUCCAAUCUCCUGAUACCAGUUCUAAGCCUUUGCCUGAUCUGCUGCUCCCCCCACCCCAAUCCAUGGUUUGUUAUCCAGAGUGAGGAGGGAAAAAAAAGAGGGUGCCUUCUGGUCUCUCUCUGCCUCCCGCAAGGUGCCUGGACCUCAUCUCUCCUUGCCCCCAUCUCUGCCCUGAGAGGGGAGCUCCUCUGGCCUCAGGCUGCUGGACACCAGGGGCAGAGGAGGAUUCGGGAAGAACCAGAGUCGGGUGGAAAGGGUCAGGAGGAGGAGAUGGGGCGGGGUAGGGGGGACACAUAAGAAGGAGCGAUAGAUAGAGGGAGGGUGGGGGGCACAGAGCAGGGCAGGCACUUUAGAAGGGUCUAGGGCUGGAAGGAGAGGGAGGCGGGUCUCCUGGGGUGAGCGCGGAAUGAGGAGGGCGAUGGUGGGGGUCCUGGUUCUCCGGGGGUUCUGCUCUGCGGUAAGCUAAGGGAUUUCUGACAGCAAAGUAAACUGUGGUGUGCUGAGUUUACCCAGCUCCAAGAAGCACUGUUCGCAGUGUUUAAUGUUUCCCUCCCCCUGAACUAGCUGACAGACACUGAAACUCAGCCCAGUUCUUUAGAGAGGUGAAGGAUGGGGAGGUGAGGAGAGGACUGUCAGCACAGCCGAGCCCCGGACCUGGACCCAGAGACUUGGAUGGGGACGGGCAAGUCCCGCAGACAUAGGCCCGAAGUUCCCCAUCAAGGAGAAACUCCUCUAUCCCACCUCCUCCCACGUGGGUUCCAGCCUGACCCAUGCGAACACGGCUGCCCUGUUUACUUUUCUCAUUGUCCUCUAUUAAAUGCCUGCCCGCAGGGCUGUGCUCCCCACACAGCCGUGCAAAUGUGGACAGACGCAGAGGACACGCACACCGCAAAAGAAAUCAGGAAGACACCAGAGCUCAGCACCCAAGAACAAAAUAAACUCACCCUGGCGUGGUGCCCAGCACGAUUCGCCGGUGGGCUUUAGGCUCAGGGAGAAUGAAUGGGGUGACCUCCCUUCAAUUCAGGGAGGCUCCUGGGGAAGAGAACGGUUUCCGAAAGGCUCUUAAAAUGAAAUGGAGGGGAAAAGUGUGGGCAGAAGGGCAUUUGAGGGAGCACAGAAGACAGAGUAGGGGGUGAGAGAACCAGACGGGGGGAGCAUUCUGCAAAAGAGCGUGCCUGCAGGGGAACAGGAAGACAGGGGAACAGGAGGACAAAGCAGAGUCAGUCCCAGAACAUAGCGGAGGGCUCGAGUCCUGGGCUGCUAUUGUCCCCUGACCUAUCCCACAGGCAGAGAAUUCGGGGGCCACUCUGGGCCCACAGAGUGAGGGGAGGUGGACAUGUGAUAGAAAAGAGGAAGGGGCCAAGGACACUAAGAAGCAGCCUAGGCUGAGGACCAAGACUUGGGAUCCCAAGGGAGCUAUGGGCAUGGAGAGGCAGAGCGAGCGUAGCCAAGUUAUCCAGGGGUGCACAGUGGGGUGCUGGGAUAGCCAAGAUGAGGCAGGGGGUGUGGGGGGGAAAGUAGGAGGUCCAUCACUGCUGGGGGCAAGGGCACUAGAGAAUUUGAGCAUGAAGGAAUGUAAAUGCAUAACUUAGCAAUUAACUUGAACGCCUGGGUCUUGAUUCCCUUACCUCUCCAGAAGUAUUUUAU